CCUACGGGAGGCAGCAGUGGGGAAUAUUGCACAAUGGGGGAAACCCUGAUGCAGCGACGCCGCGUGAGUGAAGAAGUAAUUCGUUAUGUAAAGCUCUAUCAGCAGGGAAGAAAAUGACGGUACCUGAGUAAGAAGCCCCGGCUAACUACGUGCCAGCAGCCGCGGUAAUACGUAGGGGGCAAGCGUUAUCCGGAUUUACUGGGUGUAAAGGGAGCGUAGACGGCAGUGCAAGUCUGGAGGGAAAGGCGGGGGCUCAACCCCCGGACUGCUCUGGAAACUGGACGGCUGGAGUGCAGGAGAGGCAGGCGGAAUUGCGGGGGUAGCGGUGAAAGGCAUAGAUAUUGCGAAGAACGCCGGUGGCGAAGGCGGCCGGCUGGACGACAACUGACGGGGAGGCGCGAAAGCGUGGGGAGCAAACAGGAUUAGAUACCCCAGUAGUC
rnacentral:rRNA from 1 species